UAUUAACUUCUACUAUGUCAUAGUUUUUUUCUUUUCAAUCAGGCCUUUCAUGUAACAUUUUUUAAUAAGAUAGAGUUGAUGUAAACUAGAUUUAUCAGCCAUAAUUAUACCUGUGCACAUGCAGUGAUCCAUAGGAAGAAUCAUGUACAGUACUCUGCCUUUAUUGUAAGCUUCAUUACAGAAUAUUUUUGAAGAAAAAAAGAACCUUCUUUUAAGAAAGAAAAAAAAUAAUCAGAAAAUUGGAUUAAAACAGAAUUCUUUCAAAAGCUCAAAAGAAAGAGGAACGCCAAGUGUCAAGGAAAUCAGAUAUUACUUUUUCCUGAUCUGUCGCCAAAACUGAGCUGAAGAGGCGGACUGUUCUUCCAGUAAAGAAACUUCCU